rnacentral:rRNA from 1 species
AACGAACGCUGGCGGCAGGCCUAACACAUGCAAGUCGAACGAACCGUUUACGGUGAGUGGCGCACGGGUGAGUAACACGUGGGAAUAUACAUUUCGGUAAGGAAUAACGUAGAGAAAUUUACGCUAAUACCUUAUAAUGACUACGGUCCAAAGAUUUAUCGCCGAAGGAUUAGCCCGCGUUGGAUUAGGUAGUUGGUAGGGUAAUGGCGUACCAAGCCUACGAUCUAUAGCUGGUCUUAGAGGAUGAUCAGCCACACUGGAACUGAGACACGGUGCAGACUCCUGCGGGAGGCGGCAGUGACGAAUAUUGCGCAAUGGGGGGAACGCUGACGCAGCCAUGCCGCGUGAGUGACGAAGGCCUUAGGGUUAUAAAGCUCGUUCAGAUGUAAAGAUAAUGACGGUAACAUCAGAAGAAGCUCCGGCUAAAUUCGUGCCAGCCGCCGCCGUAA